GUUGUAAAGGGCCGUCCCCAGUUAAUUGUAUUGCGCCUCAGUAAGGGGGGAAUUGGGCCAGACGUCCCAUGCUCCCCGUCCACCAAGGCGGCCGCGGGAAUUCGAUUUGGGGCGGGAUCCCCUCUUUUAUAAGGAGCUCCCCGAGAGACACGCCCGCUAGGGGUGUGUGACCCGUGAGGAUUCCGAGUGCUUGUAGUGGCUCCGGGUUUGGUGCACAACAAACGUUGAGCCGCAACGGGUCUCAGUUCUGUUGAGGUUUGCGGUGAAGAGAUUGCCAGACACACUAUUGGGCUUUGAGACAACAAGCCCGCGGCGCCGGUUUCGUUGGAGGCUGGUGGCGGCCUUCGGUCCUCUGUGUUUGUGGAGGGGUUGGGGGUUCUUGUUGUUGCCCUGCUUUGGUGGUGGGGUGUGGUGUUUGAUUUGUGGAUAGUGGUUGCGAGCAUCGAUCCGGCAGUCUUUGGGCUGUUGGGUUUGAUAAUGCAAUUUUUGAUUCUUCCGAGAAUUUUUGAACUGUUUUGUGUUGUAAGUGUUUUAGGGCGCAUGGUGGAUGCCUUGGCACUGGGAGCCGAUGAAGGACGUGGGAGGCUGCGUUAUGCCUCGGGGAGCUGUCAACCGAGCGUGGAUCCGAGGAUGUCCGAAUGGGGAACAAGGGUCUCUGGAAUUCGCGGCCGCCGCAGGUCGACCUAUGGAGGCUCCCACCGCUGAUAUGUGGGNAAGGGUAUAAAAGGGGAAGGGGAUAAUGUGGCAAUUUGCAUAAGCUUAUUUGGAGAUACGUAGUUGAUUGUUGUUGCAAGAGGC
rnacentral:misc_RNA from 1 species